CCCUCCUACAAAGGCUUGUCUGUGGCUCUCAGUCUUUAUAGACAUAUAAGAAGGAGAGAUAAAGAAAUGUGGACUUGGAGAAGUCUUGGGCCAGCUUACUCUAUGCAUGCUUAAGAUCAACUUUCCCACAAAG
ensembl:snoRNA